rnacentral:lncRNA from 1 species
ACAGGGAGAAGUGAUGGAAGGUCACAUGGGAGCCUGAGACAAGAAUUCUAAAGUCCCAACUGAAAAACACUCUCUCUCCUAGAGAAGACUUUGGAGAAAUUGGAGGUUUUCCAUCUGUCUACCAGUUUUCUGGCCCUUUGGGAGAUAACCAGCUUGAGUGAGAGAGAUCCUGCUUGGAUUCACUGCUAGCAGCUGGACAGAAGAUCAAAAAAAUCACUUCUCUACUGGACCUACUUUGGACAUUUUCUUCUGACGAUCUUGGCUCAUAUACUGGACUCUAUUUGGAGAAAGAAUGUAAAGGGGGAGAGUGAGAACAUGGAUUGCAAAAUUGCCUCCCUGCAUGGAAUUCCCUUCACCACUGCUGGGAGCGAGUUCUGCUUGACGGGCUUUUAUAGAAAGGGCAAUAGACACAAGUACUACUCACUUGGAAGAAAUCUGUAGAGUGGAUCUGGGAAGACUUUUCUGUGAGGAAGACAGAGUGAUGCACAGACAAUUUGGAAGAGCCACAUCAAAGAGAUGCUGAUCAAACCCAGGAGGGGUUUUUGAUUAUGUGAAUGAAUAAAGCUCCAUUUUCAGAAG